ensembl:lncRNA
GCCAACAGCCUGGAUUGGGGCUCUUUCCCAGCCCGUGGGCGCUCUGCAUAUCUCAGAUGUCUCCUGACACAUCUUCCAAGACCAGCUGUGAAGGAGCCAGCUAAUCGUGUUAUGUCAGAGAGAGAGGGGAGGCGGGGAGGGAGCUGCAGGCGGACCUGCCGUGCCUUGGAGCGGUGUGAAUAAUUGAUAAGGCCACUUGAAAGGGCUCACGCUGCAGUGCCCUGCAUCAGCCAGCCCUGCCCUGCUCCCUGCUGCUUGUGCUUUCCUGUGCUCAGAGGAGAGCAGCAGAGUAUCCAUCAGAGCCCACCUGGGCAGGGUCAGCCCAGGCACUGAUUGCCACCAAGGCUGAUCGUGCUGAGGAGGCAUCACCCACAACAGCUCUCCUACGUUGAGGAAUAACUGCAUCUAUGCAGCUGGGUCUGAGCCCUUCCUGCUCUUUGCAGAGACUUGAUUAGGGAGGUACAGUCCUUCCAUCCAGGCAAUCACAGUCAUAUGAUUGCGUGAAACCUACCCAGUGCUGUGUCCAACUUCAUGAAGAAUUUAGUUUGUAAAUGGCCACAUAUUCCUGUCGGAGGCUGACAGACCCCUCAACCAGUCUGAAUCAAGGGCAGGAAUGCUGGAAACCUGCUGCAAUUUGGAUGGGGUCUCUGGAAGACCUGGUGAGCACAGGAGGGGCAGCUGGAUCUUCUGGGGAAGCUAUGGGACUUGAGCUCCUCCUGUGCCGUUUUUUCCACUGCUGGCCAGCAUGCAGGUGCAGUCGCAUCAGCAUCCUGAGAUCUCCAGAGAGGCCAAUGGAAGCUCGUGGUGACAGCUGCCAGCUGUGGGCCCUGGCUUCCUCAGGAGCAGUGGGUCAGGUUAAGAUUCUUUGCAGCUCCCUGCUGUACAUCAUGUCCAUCCAGUGGAGGAUGAAAGGGUCACUGUAUGUCAUGCUGUGGUUCUUCGUGGGGAUGAGGCUGAGUCACUGCAUGGUGUAAGGUGAACUGCUUUGCUAAAAUAGGGGUAAGUAAAGAGGUUGCACAGCAAAGCGUUCCUGUUUUGCCCAAGUAUUUUGCACAAGGGGUUCUUCUGCACCUGCUGGCUGUCCUGCCUAUCCCAGAUGGAAGAGACCAUAUGGGCAGAGCCAGAGCAGCAGUUCUGCUGGAUGACAAACACAGCACCUAUUGCUGAGUGGAAAACCUCAGCUGAGGGCAGGAAGCGGAGCAGCAGUGUUUAUCUGCAGCUUAUCCAGAAUCCUGUUGUGGUUACUUGGAUGAGCAGCGCUGAUCGAUGCUGCUGUGGCCUCUACUCAUGAGUCCACAAGAACAGCCCUGGACAAAGGGCAGUAAAGCACCUCUAGAGCAGAGCUGAGCCCUGGCUCUGUGUUUACAGACUCACAGGGGCCUUGGGCAGGUAAAAGAUGCAUUUCCACCACCUCUGCCUCUUGCUGGGAAGACGACAGGAGGGUCAUUCCCAACCCCUGGCUGCAGGCUCUUUCACUCUCACCCGGCUCAGUCGGUGCAUAAAGGUGCCUCUGUUCAUUUGCAGCCAGAGCGUGCUGUCAUUUUUCUGUGAUUUAGUAAGAUUAAGAAAUGCUCGUCUGUGGUCUGCAGCGAAUGUAUUAACACGUGAUGCCUCCAGGCAUUCCCAUGAACAGAUGCAGACGCAUGGGCUCAGACCCCCAUUUUCUCAGCCAGCAAAGUGGAGAGAGAAGAACAGUGCGUGGGCUAUGGUCCAAACAGGAUCAGACAUAUUCUUCAAGCAAGGACUUUCCAGAAAAAAACGAGACAUCUGAGAUUGGAAGCAAAGGAAGGCUUAACACAUGGGAGAGCUGCAGCCAGGCAUGCUCAGAUCUCUGUGCCCAAAGAAAGGAGCACUGCAGGGGCUUCGCCAUACAGCAGUAGUCACCUCCUUUCCUUUGAGCUCUGGCAGAGCAGGGAGGAGGAGCCUCACACCCUUUGCCCCAUGCUUUUGCAAAUGCAACUGCUUUCUCCAGGCACCUUGUGAAGAGUAUUCCUAGCAAAGACAUCACGUCUGGGCUCCUCACAGCUCCAAGGAGAUUUCGCUCCGACGGAGUGAUUUGUUCCUGAAUGAGUUCCAUGUCACUCCCUGCUCCAGCCUAGUCCUGUUCACUUGUUCAGAGGACAGUGCUGCUUUGUAGACUUCUCCAGACAAAUGCUCAGUGAUGUCAGUUCCUGGCUGUCUCCUGCCAGUGCCAUUCCCAAGACGUUAUUCUGGAAUUCCAGGGAGAUGGGAGAUCCUCCAGAGGAUAAUCCAGUUCAUGGGAUGGCCAGGAGCACAGAUAGAACUAGGACUGGUCAGGAGCAUGCGUUUAUAGAGAAUGUUUGGAGCUGGCUCAAGCUGGAGGUGUGGAGGUCUAGUCCUUUAUCAUCAUCAUCACUUUGUGAAGGGCUCAUUUCUGGAUGGCUGAUAGUAGCUUUUGUCAUCUCCACACCGCGGGCAGCCCUCUGGAUAGUGAAAAUAAAAUGCAGAGCAUCCCUCCUGGAGCUGAAUGC